UCCUUAGAUGUUCUGGGCCGCACGCGUGCUACACUGAACGGUUCAAUGGGUAAGGUAGUGCGAAAGCAUGACCUAAUCUCGAAAUCCGUUCGUGCUGGGGAUAGAAGCUUGCAAUUAUCCUUCUUGAACGAGGAAUACCUUGUAAGCGUGAGUCAUCAUCUCACGCUGAAUACGUCCCUGCCCUUUGUACACACCGCCCGUCGCUCCUACCGAUUGAGUGUUCCGGUGAGGCUUUGGGAGAAUGGCCUCAACAUGAGUUUAUCGUGUUUUGCCGUUUGAACUUAGUCAAACCUUAUCACUUAGAGGAAGGAGAAGUCGUAACA
rnacentral:rRNA from 1 species